UACGUAGGGGGCAAGCGUUGUCCGGAAUCAUUGGGCGUAAAGAGCGUGUAGGCGGUCCGUUAAGUCGGCUGUGAAAGUCCAAGGCUCAACCUUGGGAUGCCGGUCGAUACUGCCGGACUAGAGUUCGGAAGAGGCGAGUGGAAUUCCUGGUGUAGCGGUGAAAUGCGCAGAUAUCAGGAGGAACACCAAUGGCGAAGGCAGCUCGCUGGAACGGUACUGACGCUGAGGCGCGAAAGCGUGGGGAGCGAACAGG
rnacentral:rRNA from 1 species